CAAGGCCAAUAUCGAAAUCUAUCACAUGAAGGAAAGGAGGAGAACCGUCGAGGUUUUCGAGGAGGGCUUGAUUUGCAGUGAAAUGAAUGAACAUGGGGAUAGGAGAGAUACCUGAGAAGGCCUUAUAAACCCUUAUAGUUUGGACCACUUCGGACCACGAAGCAAGUCGAGUUGGUGGGCGAGGCGAUCCAGUGAGAAGAGAUUGAAGAGCUUCUUUGAAAAAGAAGGCAGCUCGUUGGAGCGGUUUGCCUAUCGGUGAUUGUAGGCGGUGAUUGAGCCGGUCCAAUAUCACGUGGGCGAGUUGUAUCUCGUUGGAGUCAACACAAUCUGCUGCUCGAAUAAGUUCUUGAAUAAGAUCAAAACCAACGUUCCAAUUGCCAAUGAUGAGACGAAUCAAGAGAACCUAAACUUUGAGUGGGGAUAUUGAAGCAUGUACCAUUAAAAUCAGAAUGAAGAAACUGAGUAGGAUCCGUUUGUGCAGGCGCAGUAAACUCCUGGAGAUUUUGGUUAUGGAUUAUAGACUCGUAAGAAUUAACUUGAGGGAAGCUCUUGAGGGUAGGGGCAGAAUCCUCAUGAAAGUCCAGUUCUUUCAUGAUAGAGUCCCAGUCAAAACUCUGCAGAACAUGCUCAUCCCACUCAAGAGAAGGAUCAGUUGCAGAGACUGGUCCCAGACACAGGACUUGGACUUCGGCGCAGGUCAAGCACUGAGGUGGGUUCAGGGUAGAAUUUUUGAUAUGGAAGCGCGUUAGUAUUAUUGUUGCAAGAAACGGGCUUGGGGUUGGGAGAAACGGGAACUUUCAUAGCUAAGAGCACAAAGCUAUGCCGCUCUGUGUUUAAUUAAGAUCUUUUCCUUUCUCUUCUUGUUGACUAGUUUAGAAGAAAUUAGGGAAAAUUGAGGUAGAAGGGCUUUAGGUGGUGAUGAUUACUGGCCUUUUAUCUUUGCGUGUGCAUGCAU
rnacentral:misc_RNA from 1 species